GGGUGAUUAGCUCAGUGGUAGAGCAUCUCAUUGACGUUGAGAGGGUCGGGGAUUCGAUCUCCUCAUCACCCACCA
rnacentral:tRNA from 1 species